UAAUGACAGUACAUCAGAGCUGAAGUGCAGGGCUACGGAAAACAUUCAGACUUCUUUUUUCCCAGCUGGAAUACACAAAGCUUUCUGAAAGGACCCUCUGGGUGGCAUUUCUCUAAUGAACAGUGAACUUGCUUUCCUAAGCUGUGUCAGAUUGUUACAAAGAAGACAAAGGAACUGUGCAUGCCUUGCUUCCUGACCUGAAGAGGUUAGUUGACCUUCAGUCUUUUGGGAUGCUGAAUACAAGUGAAAAUGUGCUCUGGAAGUCAAAGGAAAAAUCUCCUAGUAGUUCAUGCUAGUUGAAUGGACAAGAUGUCACAAGGCUAAUUGAACUUCUAUCCCAGCUCUAUUAGUCACCUACUCCUAUGACCUAAGCCACUUCUCUUCUCUAUUCCUUGUCUUCCUCUUCAAGUUUUAAACUGAAAUAUCC
ensembl:lncRNA